ACUAUUUUGACAGAUAAUUGUGGUAAAUUUAGAAUUUACUAAUGUAAUUUUAAAUUACAAAUAGUA
rnacentral:tRNA from 1 species